ACGGGGCGCAGCAGGCGCGAAACCUUUACACUGCACGCCAGUGCGAUAAGGGGACCCCGAGUGAAAGGGCAUAUCGCCUCUUUCUUUUCUGAACCGUAGGGAGGUUCAGGAACAAGAGCUGGGCAAGACCGGUGCCAGCCGCCGCGGUAAUACCGGCAGCUCGAGUGAUGACCGAUUUUAUUGGGCCUAAAGCGUCCGUAGCUGGCCGCGCAAGUCUGUCGGGAAAUCCACCCGCUUAACGGGUGGGCGUCCGGCGGAAACUGUGCGGCUUGGGACAGGAAGGCUCGAGGGGUACGUUCGGGGUAGGAGUGAAAUCCUGUAAUCCUGAACGGACCACCGAUGGCGAAAGCACCUCGAGAGGACUGAUCCGACAGUGAGGGACGAAAGCUGGGGUCUCGAACCGGAUUAGAUACCCGCGUAGUCC
rnacentral:rRNA from 1 species